rnacentral:lncRNA from 1 species
AUGAAGACUUUGUGUGUUGCUGUUGUUGUGCUGAGUCUCACCUCAGUGUGUCAGUCUGCACCGUUGACCUGUGAGCAGCUGAAUAAGCCACUCGACAAAAGUCCAGACUUGUCUGGAAGAUGGUAUAUGAUAGCGCUGAGCUCAGACGUCUGUCUGAUUCCAAGCCUCCUGAAUGCCUUGUUUUGGCCCAGUCUUGUUAUUGACUUUAAAGAACAGGACACACCAAACCUCUACAAUGCCAACGUUACGUUCAACAUGCAUGACUUUUGUGACUCAAAAGUUGAAACCUUCUUCCUUAAAAGCAGCAGCCUUUUUGAUGUGGACAGCAACAAUUCUCCAACUGGUGAGCCUGAUACGCUGCUGCACACUGGCUGUCCUGACUGCCUCGUUAUCAAGGGGAAUGAUGGCAUCAACUUGCUCAUGUACUUCAGUAGGAGAAAAACUGUCACUGAUGCUGAGCUGAAGGAGUUUGAGACACAGUCAGAAUGUAUGGGCUGGUUCAAACCGGAGGUCCUAAACACAGUCCAUGAAUACAAAGACUGCAAGUCCUUUGAUGACGACAAUGAGCAUGAUGUUUCAACUUUAUUGGCCAAGAUGGGUCAACGAAUGAAAAGCUCAUUUAUGUCUCCUCUUCGAUGUAUUGGACAGUAUAUUUUUAACAUCCCUUCCAUUGGGUGGACAUAGAAAGAGUUGAACAGCCUUCUGUGAAUGAACAAAUAAAAACUACACUAAAUGUGAAACA